GAUGAACGCUGGCGGCGUGCCUAAUACAUGCAAGUCGAGCGAACAAACGCAGCGCUUGCUCCUCUUAAGUUGCCGACGGGCGAGUAAGUCGCACGUAGCUAACCUAUCUAUAAGGCUUAGAUCAGUGCAGGAGAGCGGAGCUAAUACCGGGUCAUAUCUUCAACCGGAUGGUUCAGUAGUGAAAGACGGGUUUGCUGUGACUUCUCGGUGUAUCCGCGCCGUAUUAGCUAGUUGGUACGGUAACGGCCUGCCAAGGCGACGAUGGGUAGCCGACCGGAGAGGGGGAUCGGCCGCCCUGGAACUGGGACACGGUCACGACUCCUACGGGAGGCAGCAGUAGGGAACGUGAGGCAAUGGGCGAAAGCCUGACGGAGCAACGCCGCGUAAGUGAUGAAGGUCUCCGGAUCGUAAAACUCUGUUAUUAGGGAAGAACAAAUGUGAAAGUAAAUAUGGCCGUCUUGACGGUACCUACAGAAAAAGCCCCGGCUAACUACGUG
rnacentral:rRNA from 1 species